GUCCUGUCUGAGCCCUGGGACUCCAGUCAGGAGUGUCUUUUUUUAUUCCUUGGAAACACAGCUACCUCCACCCCAGCUCAGCACUUGCCUGGCUCGUAUAGCCAGGUUGGGCAGCCAGGCCUCUCAUUACCUGGCCUCGGGCCUUGGGGGGGUGGAUGGCCCAGCCAUGCAGCCUGCCAGGACGAGGGAGGCUGGGAUCCCCGUGCUAGGCUCAGCAGAAAUGAAGACGUUCUAAAGAGACACCCUGGCCUCUCCAUCUGAUCAUCAGACCGUUGAAGGUGGAUCCCAAAGAGAUGGGAAUCUCAUGCCAGGAGAAGGAAGAGGUCCCAGCCAGAGGAGGAAGUUGCCAACCUGAACAGAAUUUCGCACAGUUCUAACUGCUUGUCUAACAACCUUGCAGGAAGAGAAUGGAGCCCAGGAAAAGAUGGGCCACUGUGGGAGGGACUAGACCUUGACCAUGGCUGCUUAGAUGUGCAUAUCCUUAGCCAUCUAUUUAAGUUUUAUUCAUUUCAGGACCCUAAAGACUGGUUUGGGGAUGGUUUAAAUCUCUGCCCCUCUUCCCAGUGGAGCCACGAUAAAUAAGCCUUCUCUAU